rnacentral:rRNA from 1 species
CGAUGUCAAUAAGCGGAGGAAAAGAAACCAACAGGGAUUGCCUCAGUAACGGCGAGUGAAGCGGCAAUAGCUCAAAUUUGAAAGCUGGCGUCUUCGACGUCCGCGUUGUAAUUUGUAGAGGAUGUUUCGGCGAGGGCUCCUGCCUAAGUUCCCUGGAAUGGGACGUCACAGAGGGUGAGAAUCCCGUAUGUGGCGGGCGGCCUUAGCCAUGUGAAACUCCUUCGACGAGUCGAGUUGUUUGGGAAUGCAGCUCUAAAUGGGAGGUAAAUUUCUUCUAAAGCUAAAUACCGGCCAGAGACCGAUAGCGCACAAGUAGAGUGAUCGAAAGAUGAAAAGCACUUUGGAAAGAGAGUUAAAAAGUACGUGAAAUUGUUGAAAGGGAAGCGCUUGCAACCAGACUCGUUCGCAGUUGCUCAGCCCGCCUCUUGGUGGGUGUACUCUUCUGCGGUCGGGCCAGCAUCAGUUCGGGCGGUCGGAUAAAGGUGUCGGGAAUGUAGCACCCUUCGGGGUGUGUUAUAGCCCGGCGCGGAAUGCGGCCAGCCUGGACUGAGGAUCUCGCUUCGGCAAGGAUGCUGGCGUAAUGGUUGUAAGCGGCCCGUCUUGAAACACGGACCAAGGAGUCUAACAUCUAUGCGAGUGUUUGGGUGUCAAACCCAUGCGCGUAAUGAAAGUGAACGGAGGUGGGAACCCGCAAGGGUGCACCAUCGACCGAUCCUGAUGUCUUCGGAUGGAUUUGAGUAAGAGCAUAGCUGUUGGGACCCGAAAGAUGGUGAACUAUGCCUGAAUAGGGUGAAGCCAGAGGAAACUCUGGUGGAGGCUCGCAGCGGUUCUGACGUGCAAAUCGAUCGUCAAAUUUGGGUAUAGGGGCGAAAGACUAAUCGAACCAUCUAGUAGCUGGGUCCCUGCCGAAG